UCUAAUUGCUAUUUUGCCUAAUCACGUCAUCGCCUUAAUUACGACGCCGUCGCCUUGCCUGAUCGCAUCGCCAUUAGCUCACCUCCUUGCAGCGGCCGCCAGGAAAAGGGCGAACAACAUCCAUCCGGCCACAGGGACGCCCGGUGGCAGUCAGCAGUCUUCUGCUGUCCGCGCGGCUACAUCACGAAUGGCAGAGAAGCAGAAUGAUGAUCGACUGAUUGGACACUGCUGAGUGAUAGAUAUUAUUCAGCUUCAUGCAUUUGUAAUUUGCAAGUUUCACAUUAUCAUCGAUGUUCUCAUUAUAUUAAAGGGCCCCCGAAUCGCCCCGGGCCCCCAGAAUCUAACCGGCCCUGUGCAUGAUCAGCUAUUUUUAAUGCUCGGGUUUUGAGUACCUGCGGCGGCGGCGUCGACGG